AGGACCAAUGCAGUGUGGAGGCCCACGGCCAGCAAGGUGCCCGGUCAAGGUGCCCGGUCAAGCCACGUCCCGCCAAGCCGGCAAUCCCAGCCGCCUGAAUGCAUUCCUCGCUGACGCUAGGGAAUAUUAAAUCCUGAACAUGACGCUGACAUGGAGGAAAUACUCAAGAUUCUCGAGUCGUCUGACAUCGAUUGUGACAGCAGUGAUGGCGACGACCCCGAUUGGCAGCUACAUGCUCCAGAUGCAAACAGCAGUGAUGAUGAAGGAGAAAACGAGGAAGCCACCCCGGUUCCUUCAACGUUAAAAGGGUUCUUUCCCCCGCCUUCAUCGUUAAGUGCGACAUUGAAGAAAAAGACCAGAAACGUUUCAUGGAAAGACCUUCACUGAAAA
rnacentral:misc_RNA from 1 species